AGUUUAUUCUGUUGGCGAAGGUUAAUUCUUAAAAGGAAGGAACCGAAGGGAAACCAACAAGUCCGUAGCCGCAAGGUGUGGGACGGCGUAUUAAUAAUGCGCGGAGUCAGCAGGAUAAGACCCGAAGCCUGGCGAUCUAUGCGUGGGCAGGUUGAAGCGUGCCGAAAGGUGCGUGGAGGACCGCAAGCGGUUUUGAUAUGCAAAUCAUUCGCGUGACCUGCGUAUAGGAGUGAAAGAUUAAUCGAGCCAGGCAUCCGCUGGUUCCUCUCGAAACAUGCCGUAGCAUGACCUGACCGGAGAUCGACAGUGAGGUAGAGCACUGAUUGGGGAAGUGGGUGACGAAAGUCGUCCCUCUCCUGUCAAACUCCAAAUUCCCUGUCAUCUAAGAUGGUCGGAAGUCCGCAUUACGGGGUAAGCUUGUAAUGCGUAAGGGAGACAACCCAGACCGUGGUUAAUGUCCCUCAGUGCAGGC
rnacentral:rRNA from 1 species